rnacentral:rRNA from 1 species
UACGAAGGGGGCUAGCGUUGCUCGGAAUCACUGGGCGUAAAGCGCACGUAGGCGGACUCUUAAGUCGGUGGUGAAAUCCUGGAGCUCAACUCCAGAACUGCCCUCGAUACUGAGAGUCUUGAGUCCGGGAGAGGUGAGUGGAACUGCGAGUGUAGAGGUGAAAUUCGUAGAUAUUCGCAAGAACACCAGUGGCGAAGGCGGCUCACUGGCCCGGUACUGACGCUGAGGUGCGAAAGCGUGGGGAGCAAACAGG